AUCUUGGAGGCUGCCACAGUUUUCUGCAAGUUCUUCCUGGUUGACUCGAAGCUGGAAUAAUAAAAAAAUAAAAACAACAUGAACUGAAGUGCAGACAACAUUGGAAAUACAAAAUUAGUUGUUACUAAAAGAAAGGUGGGGCAAACUCCAGCCAACAAUCUGCUACCAUGUCAAUGUUAGAGUGGGAAGAAAAGCCAUACAGCGAGGAAGAGCACAACACUGUGCAAAAGGUAUAAACAUCUUGCUUUACUCACCCUGACAAAACUAGCCGGAAACCAGGCUUCCUUGUCCUCAUUUCUUCCCCACCACCAGUCCUUGUUUGAAGCUUCAAGGACUUGGAUGACAUCCCCAGCUUUGAAGGCUAAUUCCUGGUCAUCCAUGGUCACGUGAUCCCAGAGUGCCUCUGCAUACACCAUGCUCCCAUCGCUUAUCAACUGAAACAUAAAUAUUCAGUGAAGAGCAACGAUUUUGUUGGGAUGGCCAAAGACAAAUGCAUGAAAUAGCUAUCUGCAGAUGAAAGCAGCAGAUGCAGAAAAUAGAGAUAUUGUGCUAAUUAAACCUGUCUACAGAGAUAUCUUCCUCUCAACAUGACAAAUAAUUUAGAAGUUGUCAAUAAAAGAAUUAUGCAUUUUGA